CCUACGGGUGGCAGCAGUGGGGAAUAUUGCACAAUGGGCGAAAGCCUGAUGCAGCAACGCCGCGUGAAGGAAGAAGGGUUUCGGCUCGUAAACUUCUAUCAUCAGGGACGAAAGAAAUGACGGUACCUGAAUAAGCAGCCCCGGCUAACUACGUGCCAGCAGCCGCGGUAAUACGUAGGGGGCAAGCGUUAUCCGGAAGUACUGGGUGUAAAGGGAGAGUAGGCGGUAUUGUAAGGGAGAUGUGAAAGCCUUGGGCUCAACCCGAGGGUUGCAUUUCGAACUAUCAAGCUAGAGUACAGGAGAGGAGAACGGAAUUCCUAGUGUAGCGGUGAAAUGCGUAGAGAUUAGGAAGAACACCAGUGGCGAAGGCGACUUUCUGGACUGAAACUGACGCUGAGGCACGAAAGCGUGGGGAGCAAACAGGAUUAGAUACCCCUGUAGUC
rnacentral:rRNA from 1 species